GUGCCAGCAGCCGCGGUAAAACGUAGGUGGCGAGCGUUAUCCGGAUUUACUGGGCGUAAAGCGUGUGCAGGUGGUCAUUCAAGUGGUGUAUGAAAUCGCCCGGCUUAACCGGGCGGGGUUAGGCCAGACUGGAUGACUGGAGGACGGGAGAGGGGCGUGGAAUUCCGGGUGUAGUGGUGAAAUGCGUAGAGAUCCGGAGGAACCCCAGCGGCGAAGGCGGCGCCCUGGCCCGUUACUGACACUCAGACACGACAGCAUGGGGAGCGAACGGGAUUAGAAACCCGCGUAGUCC
rnacentral:rRNA from 1 species